AUGUUUGCGGACGAUAGCCUCCUGUUUUUUGAAGCAACAAGUGAGGGUUUAGUUUGUAUCAAGGAUCUACUACAAAGUUAUUGUAAUGCUUCCCACCAAAGAAUCAAUGUUGAUAAGUCCUCGGUUUAUUUAAGCAAGGGAGUACUUGAUAUUUUGAGAGUUGAUAUUAAGAAUAUCCUGGAAGUCCAAAAUGAAUCACUAUUUGAGAGAUAUUUGGGUCUCCCCACUGAUGUUGGCAAGGCAAAGGAAGGGUGCUUUAGAUACUUGAAAGAUAGAAUUUGGAAACGUGUCCAAGGUUGGAUGGAGAAGUGCUUAUCUUUGGGUGGCAAAGAAGUUUUAAUCAAAUAUGUUGCACAAGCAAUUCUGAAAUACUCCAUGUCAUGCUUCAAGCUCCUACGAGGUCUUUGUGAACAUAUAAAUGGCCUUCUCAGGAAGUUUUGGUGUGGGGGGUAG
rnacentral:rRNA from 1 species